rnacentral:rRNA from 1 species
GAUGAACGCUGGCGGCGGGCCUAACACAUGCAAGUCGAGCGAACGGACGAGAAGCUUGUUUCUCUGAUGUUAGCGGCGGACGGGCGAGUAACACGUGGAUAACCUACUUAUAAGACUGGGAUAACUUCGGGAAACCGUAGCCAAUACCGGAGAAUAUUUUGAACCGCAUGGUUCAAAAGUGAUAGACGGUCUUGCUGUCACUUAUAGAUGGAUCCGCGCUGCAUUAGCUAGUUGGUAAGGUAACGGCUUACCAAGGCAACGAUGCAUAGCCGACCUGAGAGGAUGAUCGGCCACACUGGAACUGAGACACGGUCCAGACUCCUACGGGAGGCAGCAGUAGGGAAUCUUCCGCAAUGGGCGCAAGCCUGACGGAGCAACGCCGCGUGAGUGAUGAAGGUCUUCGGGUCGUAAAGCUCUGUUGUUGGGAAAGAACAUUUGUGUAAGUAACUGUCGCCAUUUUGACGGUACCUAAUGAGAAAGCACCGGCUAACUACGUG